rnacentral:sRNA from 1 species
CGAUGGUAGUGGGUUAUCAGAACUUAUUAACAUUAGUGUCACUAAAGUUGGUAUUCCAACUCCCACUGCUAAAUUU